rnacentral:rRNA from 1 species
AUUGAACGCUGGCGGCAGGCUUAACACAUGCAAGUCGAGCGGGGUGAUGGUGCUUGCACUAUCACUUAGCGGCGGACGGGUGAGUAAUGCUUAGGAAUCUGCCUAUUAGUGGGGGACAACAUCUCGAAAGGGAUGCUAAUACCGCAUACGUCCUAUGGGAGAAAGCAGGGGAUCACUUGUGACCUUGCGCUAAUAGAUGAGCCUAAGGCGGAUUAGCUAGUUGGUGGGGUAAAGGCCUACCAAGGGGACGAUCUGUAGCGGGUCUGAGAGGAUGAUCCGCCACACUGGGACUGAGACACGGCCCAGACUCCUACGGGAGGCAGCAGUGGGGAAUAUUGGACAAUGGGGGGAACCCUGAUCCAGCCAUGCCGCGCGUGUGAAGAAGGCCUUAUGGUUGUAAAGCACUUUAAGCGAGGAGGAGGCUCUUUUGGUUAAUACCCAAGAUGAGUGGACGUUACUCGCAGAAUAAGCACCGGCUAACUCUGUGCCAGCAGCCGCCGUAA